rnacentral:rRNA from 1 species
GUAGUCAUAUGCUUGUCUCAAAGAUUAAGCCAUGCAUGUCUAAGUAUAAGCAAUCUAUACCGUGAAACUGCGAAUGGCUCAUUAAAUCAGUUAUCGUUUAUUUGAUAGUACCUUACUACUUGGAUAACCGUGGUAAUUCUAGAGCUAAUACAUGCUAAAAACCUCGACUUCGGAAGGGGUGUAUUUAUUAGAUAAAAAACCAAUGCCCUUCGGGGCUCCUUGGUGAUUCAUAAUAACUUAACGAAUCGCAUGGCCUUGUGCCGGCGAUGGUUCAUUCAAAUUUCUGCCCUAUCAACUUUCGAUGGUAUGGUCUUGGCUUACCAUGGUUUCAACGGGUAACGGGGAAUUAGGGUUCUAUUCCGGAGAGGGAGCCUGAGAAACGGCUACCACAUCCAAGGAAGGCAGCAGGCGCGCAAAUUACCCAAUCCCGACACGGGGAGGUAGUGACAAUAAAUACUGAUACAGGGCUCUUUUGGGUCUUGUAAUUGGAAUGAGUACAAUUUAAAUCCCUUAACGAGGAACAAUUGGAGGGCAAGUCUGGUGCCAGCAGCCGCGGUAAUUCCAGCUCCAAUAGCGUAUAUUAAAGUUGUUGCAGUUAAAAAGCUCGUAGUUGAACCUUGGGCCUGGUUGGCCGGUCCGCCUCACCGCGUGCACUGGUCCGACCGGGUCUUUCCUUCUGAGGAGCCGCAUGCCCUUCAUUGGGUGUGUCGGGGAAUCAGGACUUUUACUUUGAAAAAAUUAGAGUGUUCAAAGCAGGCCUAUGCUCGAAUACAUUAGCAUGGAAUAAUAGAAUAGGACGUGUGGUUCUAUUUUGUUGGUUUCUAGGACCGCCGUAAUGAUUAAUAGGGACAGUCGGGGAUAUCAGUAUUCAAUUGUCAGAGGUGAAAUUCUUGGAUUUAUUGAAGACUAACUACUGCGAAAGCAUUUAUCAAGGAUGUUUUCAUUAAUCAGUGAACGAAAGUUAGGGGAUCGAAGACGAUCAGAUACCGUCGUAGUCUUAACCAUAAACUAUGCCGACUAGGGAUCGGGCGAUGUUAUCUUUUUGACUCGCUCGGCACCUUACGAGAAAUCAAAGU